rnacentral:rRNA from 1 species
CCUACGGGGAGCAGCAGUGAGGAAUAUUGGUCAAUGGACGCAAGUCUGAACCAGCCAUGCCGCGUGCAGGAAGACGGCUCUAUGAGUUGUAAACUGCUUUUGUACGAGGGUAAACGCAGAUACGCGUAUCUGUCUGAAAGUAUCGUACGAAUAAGGAUCGGCUAACUCCGUGCCAGCAGCCGCGGUAAUACGGAGGAUUCAAGCGUUAUCCGGAUUUAUUGGGUUUAAAGGGUGCGUAGGCGGUCGGAUAAGUUAGAGGGGAAAUCCCGAGGCUCAACUUCGGAAUUGCCUCUGAUACUGUUCGGCUAGAGAGUAUGUGCGGUAGGCGGAAUGUAUGGUGUAGCGGUGAAAUGCUUAGAGAUCAUACAGAACACCGAUUGCGAAGGCAGCUUACCAAGCUACUUCUGACGUUGAGGCACGAAAGCGUGGGGAGCAAACAGGAUUAGAUACCCGUGUAGUC